GUGUCUAUUCACGAAACCCACUUUACCAAAUAGUGUGACAUUUCUGAUGCCAUUAGAGUUACUCCAGACUCUUCAGAUAUGUAGGUGAGACCAGACUUCUGAUAACUCCAGAUCUAUACUGGAUGGAGGCAUCUCCAGGGGGCUAUGCAAGAUAUCACUGCAGUAGAGCAAAUCAUUAUUUUCUCUCCAAUGACAGUUUCAAAAAUGACAAACCCAAAGAUCACUUUAGACUGUGCAAUGGCUUUUGAGAAAAAACAUAUUACAGGCUAUCUGACAGCUAUCUUAACUUGA
rnacentral:lncRNA from 1 species